GUAAAGAUGGCUGAGAAUAGGUGGUGGGUUGUAAUUCCAUUUAUGGGGUGUAACCCCCUCUUUACA
rnacentral:tRNA from 1 species